UACGGAGGAUCCGAGCGUUAUCCGGAUUUAUUGGGUUUAAAGGGUGCGUAGGCGGGUUUUUAAGUCAGUGGUGGAAGUUUGCAGCUCAACUGUAAAAUUGCCAUUGAAACUGAAGACCUUGAGUGUAAAUGAGGUAGGCGGAAUGUGUUGUGUAGCGGUGAAAUGCUUAGAUAUGACGCAGAACACCGAUCGCGAAGGCAGCUUACUAAGAUACAACUGACGCUGAGGCACGAAAGCGUGGGGAUCGAACAGG
rnacentral:rRNA from 1 species